CUUCAUCGAGCCGAGCAGCAGUGGGCGGUCCUGCGGGCGGUCCUGGCCGUACGUCUCCACCACGGCCUGGGCCUC
rnacentral:antisense_RNA from 1 species